rnacentral:rRNA from 1 species
AAAGGUUUAGAAGUGGCCGUGGACAAUGUGUUCCCUGGAGUAGAGCAUAGGGAAUGCAUGCGUCACCUUGCUGCAAAUUUCAUGAAGAAAUUCAAAGGAAAGGUGUAUACCGACAAUUUAUGGCCAGCAUCUUUGACUUGCAGUGUGAAGAAGCACAACUACCACUUGAGGAAGUUAUACAUGAAUCCCAAAGUGAAAGAAUACUUGGAAACACACCACUCCAAGUUAUGGGCUAGAAGCCAAUUCAGUGAACUGAGCAAAGUUGACUAUGUGCAUAAUAAUCUAGCAGAGUCUUUCAACUCAAUGAUCCGGAAA